CCUACGGGUGGCAGCAGUGGGGAAUAUUGGACAAUGGGCGAAAGCCUGAUCCAGCCAUGCCGCGUGUGUGAAGAAGGCCUUCGGGUUGUAAAGCACUUUCAGUGGGGAAGAAAGCCUUGGGGCUAAUACCCUCGAGGAAGGACAUCACCCACAGAAGAAGCACCGGCUAACUCCGUGCCAGCAGCCGCGGUAAUACGGAGGGUGCGAGCGUUAAUCGGAAUUACUGGGCGUAAAGCGCGCGUAGGCGGUCUGAUAAGCCGGUUGUGAAAGCCCCGGGCUCAACCUGGGAACGGCAUCCGGAACUGUCAGGCUAGAGUGCAGGAGAGGAAGGUAGAAUUCCCGGUGUAGCGGUGAAAUGCGUAGAGAUCGGGAGGAAUACCAGUGGCGAAGGCGGCCUUCUGGACUGACACUGACGCCGAGGUGCGAAAGCGUGGGUAGCAAACAGGAUUAGAUACCCCAGUAGUC
rnacentral:rRNA from 1 species